AUACCAUGAUGAGGGCAUUUUCGGAAUAGUUCCUUAAAUUUCUCCCAUGCCUUAUACAAGGUCUCAUCAUCAGCUUGUUGAAAGAUAGAAAUUUUAUUUCAGAAUUU
rfam:Gossypium arboreum cultivar AKA8401 contig_70933_1, whole genome shotgun sequence.